rnacentral:lncRNA from 1 species
GCCUUUGCUAAUGCUAGAUCAUACAUUCAUAGAAUCCUGAGUUGGAAGGGGCUCAUAAGGACUGUUGAGUCCAAGUCCUGGCUCCACGCAGGACCACCCAAAAUUUAAACUGUAAUUCUGAGAUAUUUGCAGCUUUGCUUCAGCACUAGAAUAUUACUUUCAUAUUUAUGCUCUCUUUUCUCAUUUUUCAACAGUUCUAAUGUACAGCACUUCCACCAUGCCUUAGGUUCUAGAUUUGGAUUGCUUUUUUCUUAACAUGAGAUGUAAUUUGCCUAAAGCUGUGUAUGAUCUUUGACUUGGCGAAGUUUUUGGCAGAUUCUCCUGUGAGUCGGUGGAUUUGGUUUCUACAGAGCUCAGCCACCUGCACCAGUCAGU